AUUGAACGCUGGCGGCAGGCCUAACACAUGCAAGUCGAGCGGAUGAAGGGAGCUUGCUCCUGGAUUCAGCGGCGGACGGGCGAGUAAUGCCCAGGAAUCUGCCUGGUAGUGGGGGAUAACGUCCGGAAACGGGCGCUAAUACCGCAUACGUUCUGAGGGAGAAAGUGGGGGAUCUUCGGACCUCACGCUAUUAGAUGAGCCUAGGUCGGAUUAGCUAGUUGGUGGGGUAAAGGCCUACCAAGGCGACGAUCCGUAACUGGUCUGAGAGGAUGAUCAGUCACACUGGAACUGAGACACGGUCCAGACUCCUACGGGAGGCAGCAGUGGGGAAUAUUGGACAAUGGGCGAAAGCCUGAUCCAGCCAUGCCGCGUGUGUGAAGAAGGUCUUCGGAUUGUAAAGCACUUUAAGUUGGGAGGAAGGGCAGUAAGUUAAUACCUUGCUGUUUUGACGUUACCAACAGAAUAAGCACCGGCUAACUUCGUG
rnacentral:rRNA from 1 species